GAUUGCUUAUCCCAGCAUGACCUGCAUUCCAGCCUAGUUUCUGCACUUGCCAGUGAACUAAGGUUUGCUUAGCCUUGCCCAGUCUGCUCCCUUCCAAAACC